AAUUAUAUAUAUAUAUAUAUAUAUAUAUAUAUAAUGAUCUAAGGUACAAAAUUAAACCUUAAAU